AGAGUUUGAUCCUGGCUCAGAAUGAACGCUGGCGGCGUGCCUAACACAUGCAAGUCGGAUGUGCCGCAAGGUGCAUGGCGGACGGGUGAGUAACGCGUAGGGAAUCUACCUUUUUGUGGGGAAUAACGCUCCGAAAGGAGUGGUAAUACCGCAUGAGACCGCAGACUGGGAUGUUUGUGGUGAAACCUGGGGACCGCAAGGCCUGGGGCAAGAAGAGGAUCCUGCGUCUGAUUAGCUAGUUGGCGGGGUAAUGGCCCACCAAGGCGACGAUCAGUAGCCGGCCUGAGAGGGUGAUCGGCCACACUGGAACUGAGACACGGUCCAGACUCCUACGGGAGGCAGCAGUGGGGAAUUUUGCGCAAUGGACGAGAGU
rnacentral:rRNA from 1 species